GGAUUGAGCAUAUCCGUUAGAUAAAAUUGGAAUGAUACAGGGAAGAUUAGCAUGGCCCUGCGCAAGAAUGACACGCACAAAUCGAGAAAUGGGCAGAGCAUAU